GGGGCCUGGGCCGGGGGCGGCGCCUGCGCGCUGUGAGGGAGCGGCGCUGUGGUGAUGGGCGGGCCGUGAGCGCAGGGGUUUUCUUCAGCGUUAAUGAUUGCGUGAGGUUCCCAUAACUGCUUGACCUUGACAAGGGACGGGAUCGCUCCACCUCUCCUUUUCUGAAAAUGCUCAGAAUCCACACCCGAACACAUCAGAACAGCCAUCUGCCAGGAAAGGAGAUGAAGGUUUUGAGGCAGAGCCCCUACUCCAGUGCACGUUGACUUCAUCAAAUGGUCAGAGCUGUCGCUAUUGUUUGUGAGAACUGGAUGAGAACAAUGACAGACUGGGCUAGAAAGAGCCCUACGCAGGGAGGCUGAGAGCACAUAUACAAUAGGAUACAUUUUAAUGGCUACCCAGCUUCACCGUUUUUUGAUAUAACCAGUGGGAAUUACUAGUUUUGGCGUAUGUAUACAUACACACACCCAAGGCCUAGAUGGAUUCCUAUAGCAUUCUUUUUAGUUGCACGUCUUUGAAGAGAUCAAACCAGUCUGUUACAUUUGUCAUUUCCCAGGAGAGUGAGGAAAGAUGGUUGUCUUUUCUGUUCACUAGUCCUAGAGAUCUAAGUGGGUCUCUUCAGCUACACUCAACAGCACAGCAUUCCCUCGAAGGUCUUGAACCUGAUUCAGUAUUAUCAUCAGUCUUCUAACAGUGCCACCCUGCUGUUCAGGAAGCAUAGCUUUAGGCAUUGAAGAAAAUGAGACAGCCCCACUCUAUAUUUAAUACUCAUUUGUUCAUAGAUAACUACACACAGUCAUUUAUCAAGCAUGCUAAAGUCAAAGGAAACAGCUUCCAUGUAGUUGUCCUUGCACAGGGCCAGCUCAGGGAUGGACUAGCAGGGGGAUUUAUAAAGGUAGCCUGAGUUACUCCAGUCAGAGCACUGCCAGCAUCUCAGCACGGAGCUGAGCUGCAGCAAUGACAGCUUGAUGUGGGGCAGGCAUACCCAACACAGAAUGAGGUGGAAGGCACCACAGGCUCUGAACUGAAAGAGAAAAGCUUCAAAGGAAGAUUUGGAUAUGCCAUGCUUUAAAGGGGACAAGGAGCAGGAACAGAGCAAACAGAAAGAAGUGAUUUGCCAACAAAGCAUGAAAAAGUGUUCCAUUA